rnacentral:rRNA from 1 species
AUUGAACGCUGGCGGCAGGCCUAACACAUGCAAGUCGAACGGUAACAGGAAGAAGCUUGCUUCUUUGCUGACGAGUGGCGGACGGGUGAGUAAUGUCUGGGAAACUGCCUGAUGGAGGGGGAUAACUACUGGAAACGGUAGCUAAUACCGCAUAACGUCGCAAGACCAAAGAGGGGGACCUUCGGGCCUCUUGCCAUCGGAUGUGCCCAGAUGGGAUUAGCUAGUAGGUGGGGUAACGGCUCACCUAGGCGACGAUCCCUAGCUGGUCUGAGAGGAUGACCAGCCACACUGGAACUGAGACACGGUCCAGACUCCUACGGGAGGCAGCAGUGGGGAAUAUUGCACAAUGGGCGCAAGCCUGAUGCAGCCAUGCCGCGUGUAUGAAGAAGGCCUUCGGGUUGUAAAGUACUUUCAGCGGGGAGGAAGGGAGUUAAGUUAAUACCUUUGCUCAUUGACGUUACCCGCAGAAGAAGCACCGGCUAACUCCGUG